UAAUUAAGUUCUUACUUUUAUUUUUUUUUAUACCUUUUAGAAAUAUCUUUUUAUUUAGUAUUUUAUUGAACAAUAUUUUUUUGUUAUAGUAGAUUAGUACUGUGAAGGAAUAUGAUGAAUUAAUUUAAUUCUAAUUUUAAAUAAGUAUAUAUAAUUUAUAGUACCUUUUGUAUCAGGGUUGAUUAAAUUAUUUAAUUUAUUUUUAAAUCUCGAUUUCAAAAGAGCUAGGUUAUUAUUUUAGUUAAUGUUUUAUAAUUAUUAAUAAUAUAAUUUAGAGGAGAAAUUUUAUUCGGUUUUGAGGGUAUCUAGUUUUUUAAGAAACGAAUUUAAUUUGAUUUUAUUAUUUAAAUUGUAUAUUAAUAUACAAUUUAUUUGAUAAAUUAAAGUUUAUAGGGGAUAAGCUCUAUAUAUAUUUUUAUAAAAUUUUUUGAUUAAUAAGUUUUAGUAGGUUUAAAAUUAUCCAACUAUAUAAAGUUUGUUAUAAAUUAUUUUUUUUAUUAAUUAAUUUUUUUAUUUUUAAUAUUUUAUUAAAAUGUUUGAUAUAAUUUUUACUUCUAAGUAAUAAUGAUUAAAUUAGUAUAAUAUUUUGUAUUAUUUUGAUUAAUAUAAAUAAUAAAGUAAGGAACUCGGCAAAUGUUAUUCCCGCCUGUUUAACAAAAACAUGUCCUUUUGUAUUUAAUUUAAGGUCUGACCUGCCCAGUGAUUUUAAUUUAACGGCCGCGGUAUACUGACCGUGCAAAGGUAGCAUAAUCAUUAGUCUUUUAAUAGAGGGCUGGAAUGAAAGGUUUAACGAGGAAUAAGCUGUCUCAUUUUAUUUGUUUUAAAAUUUAAUUUCUUAGUUAAAAAGCUAAGAUAAUAUUGGAAGACGAGAAGACCCUAUAGAUCUUUAUAUAAUUUUUUUAAUUUAAAAUUAUAUUAUUUUAAUUAUAUAUUAUUAUAUUUUGUUGGGGUGACAAAAAUAUAUAAAUAACUUUUUUAUUUCAAAAACAUUGAUUAAUGAUUAAAUGAUCCAAUAAUAUUGAUUACUAGAUUAAGUUACCUUAGGGAUAACAGCGUAAUCCUCCUUGGAAGUUCUUAUUUACAGGAUGGGCUUGCGACCUCGAUGUUGGAUUAAGAUAAUAGCUAGGUGUAGCCGCUUAGUAUAUAGGUCUGUUCGACCUUUAAAUUCUUACAUGAUCUGAGUUCAGACCGGUUUAAGCCAGGUCGGUUUCUAUCUCCAAUCUAUAAUAAUUUUUAGUACGAAAGGACCAAAAUUAUGAAAUAAUUUUUUUUAUUGAAUAUUACUA
rnacentral:rRNA from 1 species